UUUGAUUUGUUUUCUUUGUUUUCUCUGUGCCUUCUGUUAAUCAGAAAGAGCCUGCCUCUCAUUAUCAAUGGAAAGUUUUACCGCGUGGUUAACCAAAGAGGAAGAAGCUGAAUUGCAGCUUGUGGAGCAGAUGCAUCAGCAACAGCAUGCCCCCAGCUACAGCCUCAAAAGCCUUUGCCUUUUUUCAAUUAAUUUGCUAAUGUGGGGAUGAGGGUACGCUUGUGUUUUUGCAGGAGAUGAACAAACUCUAUGGGUGCCCUUAAGGUGUGUACGACCAUGGAAUAGGAGACUGGAGGGACCCAUGCAACCCAACUGUGGGCCUGGUUCCCCCAGUACGAGCUGAAUGCAAAGACAGAACGAACCAGCAAUUGAAGCCUGCACAUUUUGCAAUUACCUUUCUCAAUUAAUUUAAAAACACAAAGGGAGAGAUGUUGGAGACCGCAAGAAUGAGCGUUGUGACCAACUCAGUAUACCACUGGAGGCUAUGGAGUAAGGAGGCUAGUCAGCACAGCAGUCAGAGCUCACAUCACAUUUAUGGCACAAAACAGCAACACCACCUACCCCUCCCAUUGCCUUCUUUAGAAUGUGAAACUGGUGCCCUUUCCUGUGAAGCUAACCACAGCACUGGCCCAAGAGUCACAGAAGAUAAAGGAAGAGACCCAAGAGGAGUUGGACGAGCAAGUCCUGCUGCUGCUGCAGACGCUGCACACACUGGUCUAGGAUUUUGAGAAACUGAAGGAGGAGAUCCAGCUGUUGCUGGAGUGACUGUCAGCUGGCCCUGCUCCACUUAGACAAGGUGAGCCAGCCCAUCAGAAACAAUGUGCCUGAUUUGCAAUGGCACCCGAUGUCUUGCAUUGUAAUUGCAUUGACCUUCCCAGUAUAAAAGGAUAUGACUGUUGCUGCUUCUCUUCCACUUUUCAAAUGUCAUCUAAAGUAUCUCUUGCAGCCCACAGGAAUUUGGAAUUAUGCUAAAAAGUGGAUUCUGAGAAUCAUGUUUGUAACUUAAAUGAGCUUACACAGUGCAUAUCACCUUGCAUAUGUCAAAAUAAAAAAUGAAAUAAAAAUCGAUACAAUCUCUUCUUCUCCCUGGAGUAAAGACAGUAUCUUUUUUCUGAAUACUAUGUGUUCAUCAGUCUUCUCAUCACAGCUUCAGUGCCUGUAUCAGAUAACAUCUUAGGAAGUCUCAUCCAGGCUACCCUUCCUCCAGACACACUGGAUAUGAUCUUAAUUGCUAGAAUAUUAAGAGAAGAUAAUAAGAUAAGAAGGGAAGCAGCAACCAUAUGAUGUGAUAAUUGUGAGUCUGGGACCUGGAAGCUUUACAAAAGAUAUUGGGUAAUAAAGACUUGGAGACUUACAUGUUUAACUUCCUUAUCCAGAGUGAUCUGAUGGGCAUAUUUAUUAUGAUGAUGGUAAAGAUAUUAAGUUCAAAUUCAACCCCCAUCUGAGAGGACUGGAAGACUGUUUAAGUUGUCAGGGUAGCCUGACAAUGAACCAGGGCUGCAUACAAACCAUUAGUGAAAACUGCAAAGAUACAUGUAACACACAGGCAAAUAUACAAAGAGAACCUUGUAUGGAGUGUAAAAGAAGCAUACGCCUACAAACUGCUGGAGGCUUUGAAAGCAAUUUACCGAGAAAGCUUUUUACAGUGGCCCACUUUGGAGCCAUCGAUAAUUAACUAAACAAAUAUUUCAGAGUGUAUCCAACUGGUUUCAGCCAAUUUCCUUAGGGAGUUGUGAUACUUUAAAUUCCAUAUAAUGAUACUGUUGGAUCAGUGUCUUCAGCUGCAGUAUGUAAGCACACAGGACUUGAUUCAUGAUCAUAUGGGUAAUAAUUUGAGAUCAAUAUUUUAAAUAAUGUAAUAGAAAACCAGCAAGGAAUCUCUCACAAGUAAUAAAUAGCGCUUGAGCCUUAGUUGUGGGUAUAUGGAGUCAUUAUGAAUUCUGCCAAGUAUAUAGAUUUAUGCUUAUACAAAUUACUGAGUGAUAAAAGACAACAUUUCUCAUAAUAGCAAUAUGGUUUCAUAACCUAUCCAAGAGCAUAGGUUUCUUCAUGUAGGACACCAAGAAACCAAAGCAUUAUUCUAACCACUUAUUCAUAAUAGGUCUGACUUUAGCAGCUGAUAUUUCUGCCUUGCAGAGACUCUGUUUUUCCCAGUCUUGAGAUGAGAUGUGAAGCUUGUCUUAUUCACACUGCGUGGCAUAUGGAAAGAAGCUCAGGCUUUAGAGGCAGAAAUACAUCUGCUCGAGGGAUCUGCUUAGUGCUAGUUUCUGCUUCUGUAAAAUGCGAAU
rnacentral:lncRNA from 10 species